UUCCUUCCUUGCCUCUUUCAGCUUCAGAACACUGUCCCCACCUGAGCUGUGUCCACCUGAGCCUUCCUCACUGCAUGUCCUGGACUCCAGCUCUCCUCUCUACAUAGAAGGACCUUGUCGUCGCAGUGGGCCACACAGAUCCAGUAAUAUAGAGAAGACCAGUUCAGAACCAAAGAUAUCAAAUUAAAACUACAAGAAUCAUCAGCAAACAGCAAAUCUUGG
rnacentral:lncRNA from 1 species